AAAAGGUGCAUACUUUGCAUUACAUAUUUUUACAUUAAACCGUAAGAAUGAGGGGAUAGCGAGCAGCAACCAUUAUAGAAUCUGUGUGAUAUUGGUACUUCUAAUGGUAAGAAUGCAGUUUCCUUGAUUUGGAAGUAUUUCUACAAAUUAACUUCGCCAAUGUUCAGCCAUGGGGUUUUAGGAUAAUGAAUAAGUAGGAGUUAAACAAGCAAGACACAUAUCAUCAUCCCUCUAAUUGGAUGGUGGCUGCUCUUGUAUGUACCUAUCCAAUGGAUUAGAAAUUAAAUCACACAAAAAUGUGAUUCUUGACUUGUUGAGAAACUAAAAGAAAGAAUAUAAAGAUUAGUUACAAACAAACUGUUGGAAGAAACUAUUAAAGAUAUAAGAUCAAGACAUGUAAAUAUCACCAAAAUUAUACUCGAAGCAAUGUUUUAACUCACUGAGCAAAAUUCAAACAUGAUGUCUAUACAUGCAAAAGCUAUUGCAGAAUUUUUAUGCAACUUGAAUGAAAGGUGUGGGCACUAUGAAUUUUCGAUAAGAUGUUUGUAGGAUUGUUCUUUAACCAUAAACAAUUGGUGUAAAUUAAGGGAAGGUUAAACCUCUUAUUACAUUUAACACGUAAUUCGAAUGACCCAAGCCACGGCUUUGAGAGCAGUAUUGUUGCUUCUAAAAUGGAAAGCUUUUGAUAAAAUGUCAAUUUUUCAGACAUACUUAAUAUGGUUUUCGACUGACUUCCACAUAAUAGAGAAGAAAAAGGAAACUAUUUAUCUAAUUGUAGCAACUAAAAUGCAAUGCCAUAAUAACAACACUCAUGCAAUACUGAACAUCUAUGUCACAUUACUGUAUAUAACGUAAAUGCCAAAAUUAAGCAAGAAAACAAACAUAGAUGCUAUCUCCAACAAUUUAAUGUACUAUUGCUUUAAGUUUCUUUGGUUAUGGCCCAGUAAUUUACUAAACAUUUAAGAAAAUGUAAAUCAACUACCAUAGAUAUAGAAUUUUCCAAAGAUAAUACCUUGGCAUAAUAAUCUUUCCAAACUCAGCAUGCAAUCUGAUGACCUCCCAAAUCAAGAGCCUUGAACUUGAUUUUCUCGAUACUCAUCUCCUCUAAUGUUGGAUACUGGGUUCGCUAAAAAUUCAUAGAAACACAGUUAUUUUCUGAUAACUUCAAACCUAUACAAAAGAGAACAAAGGCAAAAUGUUAAAAAAAUGCAUGAAGUCUUUUUUGAAAAAUCCAAAUGUCUACAGAACAACUAAAGAAAAAAUCACUCUCCAUAUUCCUAAGCAGUUUCAGUAAUAAAAAUGAAGAGUAAGAAGAAUCCAUUCUAAUUUUUUCCCCAUCAUUCACAUAAAUUGCUAAAGUCAUGCAUUGGUUCAAGAAUUGAAUGCUAAAUUUCAUCUUUUAAGAUAAAUGAACUUUGAUGGAGAUAAAGUGUGAUAAAUGAGGUCAAGAUAGAUGUUAGAGAUACCAAGUCCUAUCUAAUGCCUAUUAAAAACUUACGUCUCAUGCAGCAUCAUUAGUUUUGCAAACAAAAGUUUAUUCAAAUAUAUAUUCCAUUACACUUUGCACUACUUCAUCUUUCUUGGGAAAGGCGAAGUUAAAUUGACAAUCACCUUUCCAUAAAGCAUCCAGCCAAUGAGAAGAGUUGUUAAGUUGUAUUCACUCUAAAGUAGUAACCACUACUUCCCCCAAGAAAGCACAGAUAAUUGAAACUCUCAUCCAGGAAGGGGCUAUUUUUUUACCUAUAAUUGUAUGUUUCAAGGAAAAUGAAAUAAUUUCAGCUUGUAGACUUUCAGCAAAACUCGAAGCCGAUAUAAUAUUUGAAAAUUUAGUCAACUCCCAAGGAAAUGGCUUGUACUCACAAAUUGCGGUUUAUGUCCUAGCCAUAAGAUCUAGCUUAGAAUUCUUCUUGUCAAAUAAUUUGAACAUUAUUCCUAUCCAAAUGCUUGUCGAUAACUCCAUUCAUAGUUCAUCAUCACUUUUAAAAUAAGCCUAUAAAAAUCCAACAAAAAUGUGAAUGAAAAAUAUGAAUGUUCCUGAUAAUAUCACAAAUUGUUAUGUAAUUCAUUCAUUUAUACUUGCAUUUGCAUAAUUUAUUGAUGCCUAAAUGCACUAAGUACCCUUAUAUUUUAAUUUAGGUUGCAAAUGAAUGAAUAUGGCAAAAAUUAAGAGAAAAGAGUGAAAAAGGACCAAAAUGGAGAAAAGUGAAAGUUCAGGGACUAAAAUGCAAAUACUUUACACUUGUGCUUAAUCUUAUGAUGAAGAUUUGAAAGUGUUAGUGGUCAAGCGGAUGAGAAAAGAGGUCAAAGGGAUGAAAUAUCGUUAAAGUAUGAUCAUACAUCAAUUCUCAGUCAAAGAAGUUACGCAUUGAUUUUUAGCCUCAUAUUGAGACCCUUUUUGACAUGUCAUACGAUCAAAUUAGAAGAAGACAUCUGAAGAAAAGUUGUAUUCUUUUGAGUUAUCUUUCCAACACAACUUGAAUAACCUUAAUCGGGCAUCGGGAGAUGAAGAUAUGUUCAAAAUAUUGAAAAUUAUCCCGCGGAGAAGAAUUUAUACUAUGUGUACGCAUAAGCCUACAGGCCUUGUAAACCUUGCGUACGCGAGAUUCCAAAAAUUCACUACUGACGCCUAAACAAGUCUACUGUGUGUACACACCAUUAGAACCAUGCGUAUGCAUGGUUCAUUCGGGGGCCGAAUCUUAGUUUCCUAUUUUCAAUCAAACUCUUAUGGUAACUGAAUUUUUCAAGACUUUUAAACCUUGAAUCGACCCAGAAUGUAAGGAGACACCUCCAGACCCAUUCUUUUCACCUUGGUGCUCAAAAAACUCCAUGGAAAACUAAGGAAUUUAGUGAAGCUACAAAGGACCUCAAUCAAUUUUGGUGAUUUCGACAUCCGUCAAUUCAUGUAAUUGAGUUUUUCAUUGUUAAACAGUUUUAGAAUCAGAUUUCCAUGUUUUGAAUGAGUUUUGACAUUAGUUCAACAUUUAUUAGAAUUUCCAUAGACUUAGUCACGCUUUUUCUAUCAAAUAUUAGAAAUAUUUGUUGAAUUGCAAUUUCAAUUACUUAAAAUUAUUAGUGUGAUUCUCUACUGCCUUAUGCCUAUGUAUAUGAUCGUUUUUGAAUCUGAUUUCAAUAAUUAAUUGUGCGCAUUUGUUUUUAGGAAACUUGAUUUCUAGAGUUACCAUAAAAUUGAAUUUGUGCUUAACGUUAUAUCUUCCGAUUAAAGAGUUACAUUUAAUGUCUUUAAUCGAGUGAAAACAUAUGAAUUGAUGAUGUUGAAUGACACAAACCAGUUAGGGAAAUUCCAACGCUUCACUUUCAUAUACAUUGAUUUAAUUUCACUACGUAAACUUUGAUUUUAUUCAAACUGUAAAAUCAUUACAAAUUUCGGGAGAACCAUCACCUUUGGAUUAUUUUCCAUCUUCUUGUGGACACGACACUCCAAAGUUGUACUACAAUUACCACGUUACAUUUUGGACGUAAUCAGUUCCUCUUUAGACCUCUGCUUUCCAAAACAGUGAAGCACGAUAAAGAAAGCAAAAAUUGAUGGAAGCCAAGUCUCAAAAUAUAUGAUUCAUUAUAACAAAUAUUUAGGAUUAGAUAGUUUCCAUUUUUACCACUAAAUUUUACAACUUCUAACUUAAUACAGUUAUUUCAUGGUAGAUUUCAGUCAGCUCCAGUUUUGCAAGCCAUUGAACUAAUAUACAAUGUGUAGAAUCUACAAUUUAGAAGACGAAGAAGAUAAAACUGUAAUUCAUUUUCCACAUACAAUUAAGCGUAAGCAGUUUCCAUCAUUUUCAGUAAGACUGUUGAUAGAAAUCAAUUUCUCUUAUCAUCACUCAAUCUACAGGAUCACAGCAAAACAGAGGAGAAUCAAAUGAAUACUUAUAAUGCUUCACUUCAAAUUCUAAUAUAAAGUUGAAACUAUUCAAAGCAAAUCCAUGAGCUAUGUUGCUCGGACUCUCCAUUUUUGGCCAAGUAUUCGUGUCAACACGACACGACACGGAUAUGGACACGGGAUACGGGUCGGAUACUCGGCUUUGAACUUGGACACGGCUGGAAAUGGAGGAAUGAAAAUGACAGCAGCAUUAAACCGAUAAUUGCAAACAGGCAGACAGGGAAGAUGAGGGUUGGAGCUUUGGAGGAGAUAAAAUUUCUGGUGCAUUAAUUGCUAUUUGAUGAGUUAGUCUCUUUCCCCGUAAAUUGCACCAGAUUUGAAGAUUCCUCCUAUAAUGGAUCAACUCUUGGAAUUGCAAAAGACGUUUUAUCUGCCUCCUUGGAAUUUUUGCACCAGAAAACUCCACAUACUUUUCAUCUUCCUCUACAGAAAAUUAUUUUCUUCAAUCGAAAAUUCAAUCAAAAAAUUUCAGAAUAUUGCUUACUCCUAAUUUUCAAGUAUGAAUCCAUCUAAUUCAAUAAAAAAAUUCCAGAAUUAUGUUUUGUUUGAAUUUGGAUUUUUAUCAUUAUAUGAAACAUUUGUAUUGUGGUAAUUUGCCUUUUUGCUUUAAUAUUGUUGUUGUGUACUUUAAUUGAACAAUUUUUAAAAAAAUUGUAGGACGUAUCUCCGUACCCGUAUCCACAAUUCGGAUCCUUUUUAACCGCAUCCCCAUAUCUUAAUUUUAAAAAUGAGAAGAAUCCGAUCCCAAGAUAUGUACCCGUAUCCGACACCCGCACCCGAUUCCGAGCAACAUAGUCCAUGAGAAAUGAAAGAUUUCAGUUGAGGUAUCAAAAUACCGCAAGAGAUGGAGAUCUAUUCAGCUUGGAAAGUGAAAUCGCCAAGAGACCAUUGCUACUAUUAUGACUAUCACUUCUGCUAGAAAUCGAAGACGAAUAAGGUGGUCCGAACCGGAAACCCAAAUCAUCAUCUUCCUAAUCCUCAUCAUCAUUUGGAGUUUUUAAGGUCAUC
rnacentral:lncRNA from 1 species